rnacentral:rRNA from 1 species
UACAGAGGUCUCAAGCGUUGUUCGGAUUCAUUGGGCGUAAAGGGUGCGUAGGCGGCGCGGUAAGUCGGAUGUGAAAUCUCGGAGCUUAACUUCGAAACUGCAUUCGAUACUGCCGUGCUUGAGGACUGGAGAGGAGACUGGAAUUUACGGUGUAGCGGUGAAAUGCGUAGAUAUCGUAAGGAAGACCAGUGGCGAAGGCGGGUCUCUGGACAGUUCCUGACGCUGAGGCACGAAGGUCAGGGGGAGCAAAACGGGGAUUUAGAAAACCCCCA